rnacentral:rRNA from 1 species
CGCGAAGAACCUUACCAGCCCUUGACAUGUCUAGGACCGGUCGCAGAGACGCGACCUUCUCUUCGGAGCCUGGAACACAGGUGCUGCAUGGCUGUCGUCAGCUCGUGUCGUGAGAUGUUGGGUUAAGUCCCGCAACGAGCGCAACCCUCGUCCUUAGUUGCCAUCAUUAAGUUGGGCACUCUAAGGAGACUGCCGGUGAUAAGCCGCGAGGAAGGUGGGGAUGACGUCAAGUCCUCAUGGCCCUUACGGGCUGGGCUACACACGUGCUACAAUGGCGGUGACAAUGGGCAGCGAACCCGCAAGGGGGAGCUAAUCUCUAAAAACCGUCUCAGUUCGGAUUGCACUCUGCAACUCGAGUGCAUGAAGUUGGAAUCGCUAGUAAUCGUGGAUCAGCAUGCCACGGUGAAUACGUUCCCGGGCCUUGUACACACCG